rnacentral:rRNA from 1 species
UGGGGAAUUUUGGACAAUGGGCGCAAGCCUGAUCCAGCCAUGCCGCGUGGAUGAUGAAGGCCUUAGGGUUGUAAAAUCCUUUCGUGGGGGACGAUAAUGACGGUACCCCAAGAAGAAGCUCCGGCUAACUUCGUGCCAGCAGCCGCGGUAACACGUACUGUGCGAACGUUAUUCGGAAUCACUGGGCUUAAAGGGUGCGUAGGCGGCGAUACAAGUCAGGUGUGAAAUGCCGGAGCUCAACUGCGGCAUUGCGCUUGAAACUGUGUUGCUGGAGUAUUUCAGGGGUGUGGGGAACUGCCAGUGGAGCGGUGAAAUGUGUUGAUAUUGGCAGGAACACCGGAGGCGAAAGCGCCACACUGGGGAAUAACUGACGCUGAGGCACGAAAGCCAGGGGAGCGAACGGGAUUAGAUACCCCUGUAGUCCCUGAGCGGGCUGGCAAGGCGCAU